AUUGAACGCUGGCGGCAGGCCUAACACAUGCAAGUCGAGCGAGCGGCGGACGGGUGAGUAAUGUCUGGGAAACUGCCUGAUGGAGGGGGAUAACUACUGGAAACGGUAGCUAAUACCGCAUACCAUCAGAUGUGCCCAGAUGGGAUUGGCUAGUAGGUGGGGUAAUGGCUCACCUAGGCGACUAUCCCUAGCUGGUCGGAGAGGAUGACCAGCCACAUUGGAACGGCGCCACGGUCCAGCCUCCUCCGGGAGGCAGCAGGGGGGAAUUUUGCACAAUAGGCGCAAGCCUGAUGCAGCCAGGCCGCGUGUAUGAAGAAGUCCUUCGGGUUGUAAAGUACUUUCAGCGAGGAGGCGUUACUCGCAGAAGAAGCACCGGCUAACUCCGUGCCAGCAGCCGCGGUGAUAC
rnacentral:rRNA from 1 species